AGACACGUAGCUUAGUGGUAAAGCACUGGUCUCAUAAGCCAGCUAUCGCAAGUUCGAAUCUCGCCGUGUCUA
rnacentral:ncRNA from 15 species